GUUAAGUGACGAUAGCCUAGGAGAUACACCUGUACCCAUGCCGAACACAGCAGUUAAGCCCUAGAACGCCGGAAGUAGUUGGGGGUUGCCCCCUGUGAGAUAUGGUAGUCGCUUAGC
rnacentral:rRNA from 2 species